UGCACGCAAGGACAGACUGUCUGCAUCAGGGUGGUUUUAACCACAGGAGGCUACUGAGCCUCUGCACAUGAGCAGUGACAUAAAUGUGUCUGCAUAGGCUGUCCUGCAAGGAAAUAUUUAUCUCCAGGCUAUCAGAGGACUAAAGCUGCCGUUUCUGCAGUGUGGUUAUACACUGGCAGGUCUGGAAUUCCCCAUCUGCUGUGUGCUGUAAGUGUCAGUACUGCAGUACUGUAAACCAGAAAUUUGUGUGUAAAAGAGCUCUUCUGGAUGAGAAGUUAGUCAGAAGAUGGAAGUUCCAGAGCUGUGUGGUCUGAAAUGAGAUGCUGUUGGCUGGUCUUAGCUGCUCAGCCAAAGCCAAGGGAGGAAACCUCAGCAAAGCCAGCUGCGUAAGGUGAGCAACAGCACCCACACUAUGUGCACCAGUCACAAGUAUGACAGAUAAAGAAAUCGUUG